rnacentral:rRNA from 1 species
AUUGAACGCUGGCGGAAUGCUUUACACAUGCAAGUCGAACGGUAGAGGGGGCAACCCCUCGAGAGUGGCGAACGGGUGAGUAAUAUAUCGGAACGUGCCCAGUCGUGGGGGAUAACGUAGCGAAAGUUACGCUAAUACCGCAUACGAUCUAAGGAUGAAAGCGGGGGAUCGCAAGACCUCGCGCGAUUGGAGCGGCCGAUACCAGAUUAGGUAGUUGGUGGGGUAAAGGCUCACCAAGCCAACGAUCUGUAGCUGGUCUGAGAGGACGACCAGCCACACUGGAACUGAGACACGGUCCAGACUCCUACGGGAGGCAGCAGUGGGGAAUUUUGGACAAUGGACGCAAGUCUGAUCCAGCCAUUCCGCGUGCAGGAUGAAGGCCCUCGGGUUGUAGACUGCUUUUGUACGGAACGAAAAGGUCUCUCUUAAUACGGGGGACUCAUGACGGUACCGUAAGAAUAAGCACCGGCUAACUACGUGCCAGCCGCCGCCGUAAGAC